GGCGGACGGGUGAGUAACGCGUGAGGAACCUGCCUUUCAGAGGGGGACAACAGUUGGAAACGACUGCUAAUACCGCAUGACACAUAGAGAUCGCAUGGUUUUUAUGUCAAAGAUUUAUCGCUGAAAGAUGGCCUCGCGUCUGAUUAGCUAGUUGGUGAGGUAACGGCCCACCAAGGCGACGAUCAGUAGCCGGACUGAGAGGUUGACCGGCCACAUUGGGACUGAGAUACGGCCCAGACUCCUACGGGAGGCAGCAGUGGGGAAUAUUGGGCAAUGGGCGCAAGCCUGACCCAUCAACGCCGCGUGAAGGAAGAAGGCUUUCGGGUUGUAAACUUC
rnacentral:rRNA from 1 species